rnacentral:rRNA from 1 species
UAGGGAAUUUUCGUCAAUGGGGGAAACCCUGAACGAGCAAUGCCGCGUGAGUGAAGAAGAUCUUCGGAUCGUAAAGCUCUGUUGUAAGUGAAGAACGGCUCAUAGAGGAAAUGCUAUGGGAGUGACGGUAGCUUACCAGAAAGCCACGGCUAACUAC